rnacentral:rRNA from 1 species
UACGAGGGGGGCAAAUGUUGUUUGGAAUCACUGGGCGUAAAGGGAGCGUAGGCGGGUUCUUAAGUCAGGUGUUUAAUCCCGGGGCCCAACCCCGGACCGGCACUUUAAACUGGGAAUCUUGAAUAGUGGAGAGGUCGGUGGAAUUGGGGGUGUAGCGGUGGAAUGCGUAGAGAUCCCCAAGAACACCAGUUGCGAAGGCGGCCGACUGGACACAUAUUGACGCUGAGGCUCGAAAGCAUGGGGAGCAAACAGG